GUAGCCGUCCCUCUCAUACCAUAUUCAAUAGGCUUGAAUGGCACAGCUGUUAUAAACCUGCAUUUUGAGUUGCUCCAACAGUUAUCGCUUAUGGAUUGGUUCAUAGGUUGGAUUGGGUGAAACUGACAUGAUUCCCACUGAUGUUUUCCAGGAGAGAUGUCGGCGAUUCGGGCCAAUGACCAAGGGAAAGCUGGGACAAAAGAGAGGUUCACACGAAAUGGAUGCUGCGGCCACUGAUUGCGCAUCAGAGAAUGACUCUGAGAGGAGUCAUCUGAAGAAUCCUAUGAAGAAAAUCUGACCGGAGAGAUGUCAGCGAUUCGGGCCAAACAACCAAUGACCAAGGGAAGACUGGGACAAAAGAGAGGCUCACACGGCAAGCAUGUUUCCUACUGCCUUCAGGCAGUGCAUUUUCACUCUGUAGUGUCAACUUAUGGGCCGUACUGUGCUGGUCCAGAUAAAUCCUGUCUUUAUCAGUUA